rnacentral:rRNA from 1 species
CCUACGGGAGGCAGCAGUGAGGAAUAUUGGUCAAUGGGCGCGAGCCUGAACCAGCCAAGUAGCGUGAAGGAUGACUGCCCUAUGGGUUUUAAACUUCUUUUAUAAGGGAAUAAAUUUCCCCACGUGUGUGUUUUUGUAUGUACCUUAUGAAUAAGCAUCGGCUAAUUCCGUGCCAGCAGCCGCGGUAAUACGGAAGAUGCGAGCGUUAUCCGGGUUUAUUGGGUUUAAAGUGAGCGUAGGCGGUUCCAUAAGUAAGCGGUAAAAUCGUGCGGCUCAACCGUACCGUGCCGUUGAAACUGUGGGACUUGAGUAUGCGUAGGGUACAUGGAAUUCGUGGUGUAGCGGUGAAAUGCUUAGAGAUCACGAAGAACUCCGAUCGCGAAGGAAUUGUACCGGAGUAAGACUGACGCUGAGGCUCGAAAGUGUGGGUAUCAAACAGGAUUAGAUACCCCUGUAGUC